rnacentral:rRNA from 1 species
GACAGAGGGGGCAAGCGUUGCUCGGAAUUACUGGGCGUAAAGGGCGCGUAGGCGGGAUGGCAAGUCGGUCGUGAAAUCCCUCGGCUCAACUGAGGAUCGUCGAUCGAUACUGCCGUUCUUGAGGAUUGCAGAGGAGACUGGAAUUCCCGGUGUAGCGGUGAAAUGUGUAGAGAUCGGGAGGAACACCGAUUGCGAAGGCAGCUCGCUGGGACGUUACUGACGCUGAGACGCGAAAGCGUGGGGAGCAAACAGG